rnacentral:rRNA from 1 species
CACGCAGUAAACGAUGAUUACUGGCUGUUUGCGAUACACUGUAAGCGGCUGAGCGAAAGCGUUAAGUAAUCCACCUGGGGAGUACGUUCGCAAGAAUGAAACUCAAAGGAAUUGACGGGGGCCCGCACAAGCGGAGGAACAUGUGGUUUAAUUCGAUGAUACGCGAGGAACCUUACCCGGGCUUGAAAUGCAUCUGACAGGCAAAGAGACUUGCCUUUUCUUCGGAACAGAUGUGUAGGUGC